rnacentral:snoRNA from 1 species
AGCUGAAAAAACAAUAUCAGUGACAAUAAAAGUCAGGCACUGGCCCAGAAGGCUGCCACAGAAACACUGUGUGCAUGCGCCCUGAUCCCCUCUGCUGGGCCUCAGGGAUAAGUUUGGCUACAGACAUCA